rnacentral:rRNA from 1 species
CCUACGGGUGGCAGCAGUGAGGAAUAUUGGGCAAUGGACGAGAGUCUGAACCAGCCAAGUCGCGUGAAGGAUGACUGUCCUAUGGGUUGUAAACUUCUUUUAUAUGGGAAUAAAACAGGGUAUGCAUACCCUCUUGUAUGUACCAUAUGAAUAAGGAUCGGCUAACUCCGUGCCAGCAGCCGCGGUAAUACGGAGGAUCCGAGCGUUAUCCGGAUUUAUGGGGUUUAAAGGGAGCGUAGGUGGAUUGGUAAGUCAGUUGUGAAAGUUUGCGGCCCAACCGUAAAAGUGCAGUUGAAACUGGCAGUCUUGAGUACAGUAGAGGUGGGCGGAAUUCGUGGUGUAGCGGUGAAAUGCGUAGAUAUCACGAGGAACUCCAGUUGCGAAGGCAGCUCACUGGACUGCAACUGACACUGAGGCUCGAAAGCGUGGGUAUCAAACAGGAUUAGAUACCCCGGUAGUC